GGGAUUCCUUUCUGGGGUAUAGUGCAGUCAGGUACAACUACCGAACUGUGUCCGUUUUUAGUUCCAUGAAUUCAGCAUCGAACUCCGCUGUGCGUUUGCGUGUUUAAAAUGGCCGCGACCUCGUGUUCGUUAUACGAAUGGCAGCCACCCAGUAUUCGUCAAUUAAGCUGCGGUUAACCGCAGCUUCUGGGAGGCUAAUUGCCGGCACACUCCAGCUCCCAGGUGGUCUAGUCAUUCGUGUGGUUGUUCGGUAGAUUGAAUCUACCGAACACCGGGCAGAAAAGCACGAAUAAGUCUUUUAUGCAGGGGAAACAAAGUCUUUUAACAUGGGGCCAUAAUCCAGAGGUAGCAGGCGAGCAACCAGGCUUCUCCAAUGCAAUGUGGCGAGAUUGCUCUCGUCACAGAAAGCAUUACUUAAUGCUUUCCUACGGACGUCUAGCAUCUUGUCACUGUGAUUUUCACAGUGAGAAUUGCGGAAGCGCCUCUAGCGGCUGUCAGUGAAACAGCCAAUAGAGGCUGGAUUAACCCUAAGUGUUUUCAGCUGCAAGGUUAAAACUGAAGGGACCUGGCACCCAGACCACUUCAUUGAGCUGAAGUGGUCUGGGUGACUAUAAUGGUCCUUUAAUCUUAAACCACUCUAUUCAUUCGGUGCAAAUCUUCCCCAACACACAUUUCAUUUACUUAUUUUUGUUUGCCGCUUUCAUCGAAGCUGUACUUUUCAGUCUCAUGUAGAGAAAAAUACAACUGGGAAAAGACUGGACUGAGAAACCUGUCCAGCUAUUAAAAAAAUGGAGAGGGAGAGCAGCUGCAUAUUUAAAAAAAAAACAUGGCCACACAAGUAUAGUUAAUAUUCCAGGUUUAUUGGCAAACCAUUAUAUAGACAAUCAGGCACGGUGGGUGGGCCUGCUCUUGCAAGCUGUCAGAACAACACUACAUUAACAGAUUUAUUUAACCAAUCAUUGUUAACAGGAGUAGUCCCAGAAGAUUGGAAGUUAGCAAAUGUUGUGCCCAUUUACAAGAAAGGUAAUAGGGAGGAGUCGGGCAACUAUAGGCCAGUAAGCCUUACUUCAGUAGUGGGGAAAGUGAUGGAAACCAUGUUAAAGGAUAGGAUUGUUGAACAUCUAAAAACACAUGGAUUUCAAGAUCAGAGACAACAUGGG